AUGGUGGAGGGGCGUACUGCUGGCCUUGUCAGCAACAUGCCAAAGUAGCUGGGAUCUGGGGCUACGAUGCGCCAUUGCGCGUGAUCCAACCAACAGGUCGCCAAGCUUCCAGUGAUGCGACCAAUCGACUGCCAUUGCGGUCGGUGGAAGC
rfam:Pseudomonas fuscovaginae strain IRRI 6609 Pf_IRRI_6609_contig_35.35, whole genome shotgun sequence.